rnacentral:pre_miRNA from 1 species
UAACCUCUGCAGGUUGGCUGGUCCCCAGGAUGGGCUGGGCGAAUAUCUCAUCCAAUCGCUCACCCUCAAGCACUAGGAGC